ensembl:lncRNA
CUACAAUUUGCAUACCUCCCCAACAGAUCCACGGAUGACGCCAUCGCACUGCACACUCCCCUAUCCCAUCUGUUCUUCAACUAGAUCUGAACCCCACCCUGUGCAACUGGCUCCUGGAAUUCCUGACAGGCCGACCCCAGGUGGUGAAGGAAGUGGUGCCACAGGUCUGGCAGUAGCAGAGCCGCUCUAUGACUCAAGUGUGUUUCCGGUGUCCUGGAACGCACCCUGUCUGGUUGCCGGGCGAAUUAGCUUGUUGGGAGAUCGAUGUUCACCCGCACCUGUAUCCCAUCAGUAAUCUGCACACCUGUCCUGAUCAUCACCUCUCCCCUUCAAAAGCUCUGACCUGACAUCCAUUGCCUGCCG